AUACAAGGAUUGUGUUGGAUCUUGCAAAGGUUCAGUUUAGUACGUAUAGUUACUUAUGCU
rnacentral:tRNA from 1 species